rnacentral:rRNA from 1 species
UACGUAGGGUGCGAGCGUUGUCCGGAAUUACUGGGCGUAAAGAGCUCGUAGGUGGUUUGUCGCGUUGUUCGUGAAAUCUCACGGCUUAACUGUGAGCGUGCGGGCGAUACGGGCAGACUGGAGUACUGCAGGGGAGACUGGAAUUCCUGGUGUAGCGGUGGAAUGCGUAGAGAUCCGGAGGAAGACCGGUGGCGAAGGCGGCCUGCUGGGCAGUUACUGACACUGAGGCGCGACAGCGUGGGGAGCAAACAGG